UACAGAGGUGGCUAGCGUUGUUCGGAAUUAUUGGGCGUAAAGAGCGCGUAGGCGGUCCGAUAAGUCGGCUGUGAAAGUCAGGGGCUCAACCCUUGAAAGCCGGCCGAUACUGUCGGACUAGAGUCCGGAAGAGGCAAGUGGAAUUCCCGGUGUAGCGGUGAAAUGCGCAGAUAUCGGGAGGAACACCAAUGGCGAAGGCAGCUUGCUGGGACGGUACUGACGCUGAGGCGCGAAAGCGUGGGGAGCAAACAGG
rnacentral:rRNA from 1 species